rnacentral:rRNA from 1 species
CGUAGGCGGCCUUUCAAGUCCUGUGUGAAAUCCCUCGGCUCAACUGAGGAAUUGCACGGGAAACUGUUUGGCUUGAGUUCGGGAGAGGGGAGCGGAAUUCCGGGUGUAGCGGUGAAAUGCGUAGAUAUCCGGAGGAACACCGGUGGCGAAGGCGGCUUCCUGGACCGACACUGACGCUGAGGCGCGAAAGCUAGGGGAGCAAACG